GAAGGAAAGAGACCUGGCCCACGAGCACACGCAACUAGGUCCAAGUGUCCUGCAAAGGAAGAAAGCAGACACACAGGCACGCGCGGCCAGAGACCAGAUGUCUUGAAAAGGGAGCGACUAAGCUAGCUUUGGGUACACUGGGCCAGCUCAAAACCGGCUGGCCGGUACGACCCAGGCACGCGUGAUAAAGGAUUUAGAGGCCAGGCCGGCGCAACCUUCCCCACAAACUCGGUCUCCCGCCCACCACCGCUGCCUGCCACCAGGGGGCACUCCCCGACCCAAGCAACGGAGAGUCACAGCUCAGAUCAGACAGGCCUGCACCUGGGCUCUUGCACCAGAGUUCGGAAACUGCCAAGUGACUCUGCUGGAGUUGGACAUGAAUAUAACCCAGUACGUGGAGGCAGAAAGAGGAAGGAAGAUCAAGAGUUCAAGGAGGCUUGAGAGUGGGGGCAGAAGAAGAGAGAA
ensembl:antisense 1810034E14Rik RIKEN cDNA 1810034E14 gene